CUAAUGAGUGAACAUAGGCAACCGGUGUAAAGAAACAUGCCCAGUGUUUCUACUCUCACUGGGAAUCGAACCCAGACCCCUCGAUGUGUGAAGCGAGAGCUUUAGCGACCACUCUACCUUAGUGGGAUACAACCAGUGUUAUUUUUUUUGCGUCUAAAAGUGUAUUUGUAAUAAAAAUGCUUCAAAAAUUUUGGAAGAUACUUAGAGCAUACUUGAAACUGAAUGUUUAUGUAACAAAAUAUUAAACAAAUGAUUAUGGUUGGUAAAUAUUUGUAAGCCAUUUAAUGACCUUUUUUUUUUUUUGCAGAUCUUUGUUUUACUAGAGGCAGACACUACCCUUGUAUCAGUACUGCAGCUUACCUAGCACUAGAGUCUGGCAUUACAUUUUCAGUACAGUACUAAUACUGUAGAUGAUCCUUGCACUAUUGUCAUGCAAAUAUUGCAGGUCAUCAUGGCACCAGAAGAAUUACCUUUACAGUGCCCAUACUACAGCCCAUCUUAGCACCAGUGUGCUAACAUUUGUGCAGUAACUACCCCAACAAAGGAUACCCGAUAAUGACGGUAUGCAAACUGCUAAACAAAAUAACUACCUCAACAAAGGUUAUCUGAUAAUAGCGGCAUACAACCUACUAAACAAGAGUAAGAAAGAUUUUUUCGUGUUGUAUCAUUUACAGAACAGGUUCCUCUAACAAGACUAAAAUACCACCAAAUUCUUUGAAUUUAAAGCCCAUAUCUAUUAACACCCAAGUUUUAUUUUUAUCUUCUAAGUAUAACAGGGUGUCGUCUAAUCCUAGUUUAUAUCUUAAUCUCCGAGUUUACCCAUUUAUAAUUCAGCUUCCGUUUAUUCCUAAUAAACCAAUUUCACCUUUUAUUACUAUAAAUUUCAAUUUACCUUUAAACGUAAG